rnacentral:rRNA from 1 species
GAGGGUGCGAGCGUUGUCCGGAAUCACUGGGCGUAAAGGGCGCGUAGGUGGCUACUCAAGCGCGCGGUGAAAGCCCGGGGCUCAACCACGGGUCGGCCGUGCGGACUGGGAGGCUCGAGCACUGUAGGGGCGGGUGGAAUUCCGGGUGUAGCGGUGGAAUGCGUAGAGAUCCGGAAGAACACCGGUGGCGAAGGCGGCCCGCUGGGCAGGAAGGGGUGGGUAACCACCCCGGCUGACACUGAGGCGCGACAGCGUGGGGAGCAAACAGG